UACGUAGGGUGCGAGCGUUGCCCGGAUUUAUUGGGCGUAAAGCGCGCGCAGGCGGCCUCGCGCGCCCGACGUGAAAGCCCCCGGCUUAACCGGGGAGGGUCGUUGGGGACGGCGGGGCUUGAGGGCGGGAGAGGUCGGUGGAAUUCCCGGUGUAGUGGUGAAAUGCGUAGAGAUCGGGAGGAACACCUGUGGCGAAGGCGGCCGACUGGGCCGACCCUGACGCUGAGGCGCGAAGGCGUGGGGAGCGAACGGG
rnacentral:rRNA from 1 species